ACGAUCCAGUUCAAAUAAACGGGUUCAGUAAUCCUCGAACAAAGUGAUUCCCGGAAAAGAAUCAACGUCUCAGGGCAUUUCAAACUGCGCGCACACACAGCGAUUGACGUAGGCCGCGUUAGUGAAGUGAUUUGAUGCUUUUGUGGUUUAUAAAGUCUUUUUACAUACAAAUUAUAAUUAAGAAUGUGCACAUGGAUACAUUUGUGAGAGAAAAACUCGUCGAGUGCAGUCUUAUUGAGGCGUCUAACGGUUGGAACAAACAUGGAAUUCUUUAACCGAGCAGAGUCCACAAAACCCCAUCCAAUUGUCGUGGCGAUUUAAAAAUGCCAGCAGAUCUCUCAGGCAUUGAUCAUAAUCAAUGGACAGGCCACCGUAGCCACUCGUAUCCACUACGUAUCCAGAGCAGAUGGUGGAUCAGCACCUAGAAAGGGCCUCUACUGCCCUGAAAGACAGCGGAGACCAGGACAACUAGAGCCCAGAUACAGAUCCCCUGUAAAGACCUUGUCUCAGAGGACCACCAGGACAAGACCACAGGAAACAGAUGAUUCUUCUGCACAAUCUGACUUUGCUGCAGCCUGGAAUUGAACUAUUGGUUUCGUCUGGUCAGAGGAGAACUGGUCCCCAACUGAGCCUGGUUUCUCCCAAGGUUUUUUUCUCCAUUCUGUCACCGAUGGAGUUUCGGUUCCUUGGUUUUCCUUAGUUGGGGACAAUUAAUAUCAAGCAAUAUCAUCGACUUGUUUGCACAGAGGGACGAUACAUCACUGAAUGAAUGAUGAACUGACUUUAACUGAAAACUGAAAAGGUAGUUUUUGUUCAGUG